rnacentral:rRNA from 1 species
AUGGCGAGCGUGGUCAUCGAGAGCCACGACUCCGCGGUGGCCGGCGGCGGGGACGUGGUGUUCUGCGUCAUCAUCCUGUGCAUGUCCGUGCUGUCCUUGGUCAUCUUGGCGGCCUCCUCUGCCGUCGGCAGCGGCGACGGGGAAGAGCGCUCCGCCUCACGCGGGAACGGGCCGGUGUUCGUGGGCGGCAGGGGCUGCGCCUGCGGCGGCUGCCGCGCCGGCGCCGGCGUCUGCGGCACCUACCUCUCGUGA